AUUCUAUAAACUUACUUGGCAUCAUCAUCUCCCAAACCAAGUUCAAAGACACGAGUAGCACCAAGUUGUUCUAAUCUAUGAUCAACAUAUAAAGCUAUUUCAUUGUAAUGUUCAUAUGUUUUAUUUCCAAGACCAAAUACCUCAUAAUUUAAUCCAUUUAAAUCAGGAUCACCAUUUUUUAGCCAAUCAAUAAAUUCCAUAGCAUUGUCUGUAGGAUCACCUUCUCCAUAUGUUGCUAAACAGAAUACUGCCAUACUGUUUGGUAUUGUUUUGAGAUGUAUUAAUUCUUCCUGUUAUAAUUAUAUAAUUAUGUAAGAUUAUGAUAUAUAAAUAAAUAAAAUAAUAUGAUGAGAAAUUCUUAAAUUUUUUUUUCAUUCUUAUUAUAUAUGUCUGAAAUUACAUUGUACUUUUCAAAACUUUCAACAAUUCUAUCUAGAAUAUCGAUUUUUCAUAAUAAUCGUAUUUUCGUAUUAAUAAUUUU